AGCAGCGUGGCUUAGUGGAAAGAGCAUGGGCUUUGGAGUCAGAGGUCAUGGGUUCUAAUCCCAGCUCUGCCU
rnacentral:tRNA from 1 species